AACAGGAUUAGAUACCCUGGUAGUCCACGCAGUAAACGAUGAUCACUAGCUGUUUGCGAUACAGUGUAAGCGGCACAGCGAAAGCGUUAAGUGAUCCACCUGGGGAGUACGCCGGCAACGGUGAAACUCAAAGGAAUUGACGGGGGCCCGCACAAGCGGAGGAACAUGUGGUUUAAUUCGAUGAUACGCGAGGAACCUUACCCGGGUUUGAACGCAUUCGGACCGAGGUGGAAACACCUUUUCUAGCAAUAGCCGCUUGCGAGGUGCUGCAUGGUUGUCGUCAGCUCGUGCCGUGAGGUGUCGGCUUAAGUGCCAUAACGAGCGCAACCCUUGCCACUAGUUACUAACAGGUGAUGCUGAGGACUCUGGUGGGACUGCCAGCGUAAGCUGCGAGGAAGGCGGGGAUGACGUCAAAUCAGCACGGCCCUUACAUCCGGGGCGACACACGUGUUACAAUGGCGUGGACAAAGGGAUGCCACCUGGCGACAGGGAGCGAAUCCCCAAACCACGUCUCAGUUCGGAUCGGAGUCUGCAACCCGACUCCGUGAAGCUGGAUUCGCUAGUAAUCGCGCAUCAGCCAUGGCGCGGUGAAUACGUUCCCGGGCCUUGUACACACCGCCCGUCAAGCCAUGGGAGCCGGGGGUACCUGAAGUCCGUAACCGCGAGGAUCGGCCUAGGGUAAAACUGGUGACUGGGGCUAAGUCGUAACAAGGUAACC
rnacentral:rRNA from 1 species